rnacentral:rRNA from 1 species
GGCGCCCCCGGAGGUCAUCAAACACUGCAUCUUUGCGUCGGAGUCUUAAAGUAAAUUUAAACAAAACUUUCAACAACGGAUCUCUUGGUUCUGGCAUCGAUGAAGAACGCAGCGAAAUGCGAUAAGUAAUGUGAAUUGCAGAAUUCAGUGAAUCAUCGAAUCUUUGAACGCACAUUGCGCCCCGUGGUAUUCCGCGGGGCAUGCCUGUUCGAGCGUCAUUUCACCACUCAAGCCUAGCUUGGUAUUGGGCGUCGCGGUUCCGCGCGCCUUAAAGUCUCCGGCUGAGCAGUUCGUCUCUAAGCGUUGUGGCAUAUAUUUCGCUGAAGAGUUCGGACGGCUUUUGGCCGUUAAAUCUUUCUUAAGGUUGACCUCGGAUCAGGUAGGGAUACCCGCUGAACUUAAGCAUAUCAAUAAGCGGAGGAA